CCUACGGGUGGCUGCAGUGAGGAAUAUUGGUCAAUGGACGCAAGUCUGAACCAGCCAUGCCGCGUGCAGGAAGACGGCUCUAUGAGUUGUAAACUGCUUUUGUACGAGGGUAAACGCAGAUACUCGUAUCCUUCUGAAAGUAUCUUACGAAUAAGGAUCGGCUAACUCCGUUCCAGCAGCCGCGGUAAUACGGAGGAUUCAAGCGUUAUCCGGAUUUAUUGGGUUUAAAGGGUGCGUAGGCGGGCGGAUAAGUUAGCGGUGAAAUCCCGGGGCUCAACUUCGGAAUUGCCGCUGAUACUGUUGGGCUGGAGAGUAGUAGAGGUAGGCGGAAUGUAUGGUGUAGCGGUGAAAUGCUUAGAGAUCAUACAGAACACCGAUUGCGAAGGCAGCUUACCAAGCUACUUCUGACGUUGAGGCACGAAAGCGUGGGGAGCAAACAGGAUUAGAUACCCGAGUAGUC
rnacentral:rRNA from 1 species